rnacentral:lncRNA from 1 species
UCCAUUAUUCAUCUUAUAUUCUUACAAAAUCAAACUUUAGCCCGGUUUUGGUUCAACCCGCACACAGCCUAACUUAUUAACAUCAGGUUGAAGCUGAACUACAGAGAAAGGGUAAUCAUUCUUUCGAUCUCCUUCUAUCUUGCUUGUUGGUCUUUUCAUGGAUAUCUCUUGGGUUGGAUAAGAUCUUAAUAAGGUAAAGUUUUAGUUGUGAUUUGUGAAUUGAUGAGUUAGAAUUUCUUCUUUUCUUCAUCUCAAGACUUGUCUUCAGAGAUGAACACCGUAUAGUGAAUCAGUGGAUAGUUAGCGAAAACUAUUGAUAAAGUUUUCUUUAAGCCUUAAGAACCAGGUCACCGCCGGUCCUAUCAUACUUUCCACGACGAGUUGCCAAUAUCCGAAUUUUUUCUCUGUUGCGUUGAAGUGUGCUUGUCUCAUGGAUAUGUUGUCAUGUGAUCACUACAAUCUGUCUCGUAUGAAAAAGAUGGGAUCUUAAUUUUGUCCUAAGUGUCGGAUCAGUAUCUCGGUUAUCUUUGUCGUGAACUGCGUCUUCUGUGUUGCAGCGAGAACGUGCUCUAUUUCUGGCACUGAACUUGUCGCCCGAUGAACCUUGGAUGAGAUACUUUGUAUUGAAUUCCAAAGAAGAUCGAUUUAUUGGUUGGUUUGUUGACCUAUUCAAUCUACUGCGACUUGAUGUCCUGCCGAGUUUUGAUUGGUUCAGAAUAGAUCUCUUCUUGCAGUUUCGGGAUCAGUAUUUUGAAGCAAUGAUUGUCUAUAGACUGCAACUAGGGAAUUGAGCCGUUCAUUAGUAGCUUUUUGACGCAUCUUGUCUCUCGAAGCGCCUCACCAUAUUUUGCAUCUUAGUCAUCACCACGGCCAAGUCUGGCUGUGCAGCUGAUGCGGCCUGGCCUCCGGUUCGAGUGUCAUCUUCUUCGACCAUCGUAGAUCUUCUUUGGCGCUUAUUUAUAAUUUCCACUGAUGAUGUCAGUUAUUCAAUUUGAAUUUGGCAUGUUCGAUUGAAAGAUAUUUAUUGGAAGAUUAACAAUCGAUUACAAGGAAGUGAAAUUGCUUAAAAACAGUGAUUUUCUAAGAACAUAAUAAAUCUAUGAAAAUCCUAUCUCUUGUGCC